rnacentral:rRNA from 1 species
AUACGGAGGGUGCAAGCGUUAAUCGGAAUUACUGGGCGUAAAGCGCGCGUAGGCGGUUUGAUAAGUCGGAUGUGAAAUCCCCGGGCUCAACCUGGGAAUUGCAUUCGAUACUGUCAGGCUAGAGUGUGGUAGAGGGAAGUGGAAUUUCCGGUGUAGCGGUGAAAUGCGUAGAUAUCAGAAGGAACACCAGUGGCGAAGGCGGCUUCCUGGACCAACACUGACGCUGAGGUGCGAAAGCGUGGGGAGCAAACAGGAUUAGAAACCCUAGUAGUCC